GACUUAUUCAUUUGAACCCUCCGGUUGGAGUUAUUGGUGACGUUUUUGAGGAUGCUUGCCUGUGUCUCUCUUAUCUAUCAAAUGGUUCAGCUGAACAAAUCCAGGCUCUAAUCGAUGCAGAUGUCUGUGCAAGGCUCGUUAUGCUUUUAGGAUGGAAAAAUUGUUGAGCAUGUGCUUAGAACAGUAGGAAACAUUUUUAAGGGAGUUGAUUCUCAGAUUCAGAUUCUGAUAAACAACGGGGUUUUCUUUUGUUUUAAUGCUAUUCUCAUGCAUGGGAGUAACAGUUCUGUUCUGGGGAAAACUUGUUCGGCAAUCCCAACUUUGACAGCUAGAGGUAGAAAUCAGAUGCAAGUAGGAAUUUACUAUGGUUUUGUAUGAACUUAUUUCUUCUGUAAAUAUAAAUCACCUUAAUCGUUUUCAUUGAAUAUUUAGUGUUCCAAAGACUGAUGAAAUCUAUAGGUUUAUUCUUAUACAAA